rnacentral:hammerhead_ribozyme from 1 species
AUCCAUAUGAUGAGUCCCAAAUAGGACGAAAUGCGCAUCCUGAAU